rnacentral:rRNA from 1 species
AUUGAACGCUGGCGGCAUGCCUUACACAUGCAAGUCGAACGGCAGCACGGGGCAACCUGGUGGCGAGUGGCGAACGGGUGAGUAAUGCAUCGGAACGUGCCAUUGAGUGGGGGAUAACGUAGCGAAAGUUGCGCUAAUACCGCAUAUUCUGUGAGCAGGAAAGCAGGGGACCGCAAGGCCUUGCGCUCUUUGAGCGGCCGAUGUCAGAUUAGCUAGUUGGUGAGGUAACGGCUUACCAAGGCGACGAUCUGUAGCGGGUCUGAGAGGAUGAUCCGCCACACUGGAACUGAGACACGGUCCAGACUCCUACGGGAGGCAGCAGUGGGGAAUUUUGGACAAUGGGCGCAAGCCUGAUCCAGCCAUGCCGCGUGAGUGAAGAAGGCCUCGGUGUAAGACUCUUUCGGUCCGGGAACGGAAAGUACGGCAUGGGUUAAUACCCUGUGUGGAUGACGGUACCGGAA